rnacentral:rRNA from 1 species
UACGGGGGGGGCAAGCGUUGUUCGGAAUUACUGGGCGUAAAGGGCUCGUAGGCGGCCAACUAAGUCAGACGUGAAAUCCCUCGGCUUAACCGGGGAACUGCAUCUGAUACUGGAUGGCUUGAGUUCGGGAGAGGGAUGCGGAAUUCCAGGUGUAGCGGUGAAAUGCGUAGAUAUCUGGAGGAACACCGGUGGCGAAGGCGGCAUCCUGGACCGACACUGACGCUGGAGGAGCGAAAGCCAGGGGAGCAAACGGG